GCAGACAUGGCUUAACGGGCAGAGCGCGACGUUGCCAGCGUCGAGGCGCGGGUUCAAGACCUGCUGUCUGCACCA
rnacentral:tRNA from 1 species